rnacentral:lncRNA from 1 species
CCCCACGCACCCUCUCCCGGGCUGGCCGGCUCGGGGCCGCUCGCGCACUCAAGCGCGUACACACAUCGCUCUUGCACACACAGGAUCUGCGGGGUAUUCGCCUCUUCGCCCCGCGCCACACCACCCAGCUGAGCAUCGCUUUCAGGCUACCCUGCGGGGGCGCAGGCUUGGAUCAGCCAAUCACCUUGCUGUCUACGAAAAGGCCUUUAUGAAGAAAUCCAUCUUUAGCUGGAGGCCCCUGUGACUAGAAAGAUUUCUCCUAUGCCCAUCUAACCCUGCUGCUGCAGUGUGACCUUCUCCUACCUAGAUUUCUUCUCCUUGAGAACAGGCAACCUUAACUAAAACCAUUGAGACUUCUUCCCCAGGUUGGAUGGGCUCCAGGUGAGCUAUUCCCAAGUCUAUACACCCCCUCCCUUUGUCCCCAGCCCCAGGCCUGCCCACCUGGCUCCUUGGUGCAUUUCAGUGACCCCCCCUCAACCAGGAGGUCUCAGCAUCUGCCCUUCCUCACACCUCCAUUCACUAUCCAAGCCACCACAAGGCAGGCCCUUUCCCUCUCCAAAUCUGUUUCCCCAUCUGUGAAAUUGGAGUGGUUAUCCUCGCCUCACUGAGCUGAUGUGAGAAUUAAGUAAGUAAUGGAUGUAAACACACCUAGCAUAGGGUCUGGCCCACUCAAGAGCUCAUUCCCCGGCCUUUCUUCCUUUUCCAAGUCUAAGAUUCACUAUCCUACCCCAAACUUGACUCCUAGGCCAGAUCUCCUAGACACCUGGAUGGCAGCUUAGCAUAAAGAGCCAGCUGCCUUCUCGUAGAGCCAAAACAUCAGUGUGUGGUCCAGACCGUUGGCAAGUAGACCUGGGCAUCCUGAAUCUACAGCUCGGACCGCAUCUCUGCAUCUUGCCCAAGGGGAGUCUAUGAAGCAGUUGCCUUUCUUAAUUAAAAGGGAAACGAAGAGAUGAGCCUGGAGGCUCGCCACUCACAUUCGCCUGGACACUGCUGGACAAUGGAGCAUGUCCCCACCCACAGGUGACCCCAUCCUCAGCUCGGGCUGAGAGACCAUACAACACACUGGGGGCAGGGUAGUGUUCAUGCCUGGGUCUUGCUUCCAACCAAGUGGCUUUCCUGAUAGAAUUGGGGUGGGGGGAGGGGAGCGAAGCACAGUUCACACGGCAGCCUGUUUAUUGAUUGACUAUUGGUUGAUUGGUUUUUUUCAAGACAGUCUCUGGGAAGCCCUGGAUAUCC